AUAAUACAGAAAAAGAAACAGAGGAAAAGCAAUAUGUCACCCGACAUUGUCGAUCGGGUGACAUAAUUAUAUUUUAAUCAAAUCAUGGAAUAUGUCAAAUAAAGGAUGAAAGACUAACAAGCAAGGACUCUUAUAAUUUAUGGACAGAGUUCAUGCUAAAACAGCUUUGUGGCUGUAGAUUUUUUUUUAUAUAACAUGAAAUAAGGUGUGUUUAUUUAUUGUGGUAUUUAUUGUUUUUCAUUUAUAAACAAAAUAUUCUAGAUUUUCAUAGAAAAAGAUAUUUAUGUGUUAUUCUCAUUAUCCUCAAAAUAUGGUAGAUGUAUUUAAGUUAAAUGGUAACCUUGUAAACAAGUUGUUUUUAUCAAAAUUGGAACAAAAUGUCUCAGGAAAAAAUAUAUUAGAAUUUGUAAACAAACAUGAAGUAUAACUCCAUGUGUUGAACCAAUGCUGUUGUGUUUACUUCAAUAAAGUCUACUAAAGUGUUUGCCUUGGUUUGCAGGGAUAUCAACUUGUGAAAAAUUUGAUUAAGGCCAUCAAAUUCUAGUCAAAUUUCAGUUGUAUAAUGUUAAGUUUAUGGGUAUAAAUUUCUUUUAUUUGUAGAAUUUAUUUACAAAUUCAUGAUGCAUUAUUAAAGUAUUCACAUUUCUAUGAAGAUUUUAAGUUAUGAUUAUUGAAUAUAUAGUAGGGAAUAUAAGGCAUUUUUUAAUUAAUGGUAAUUUGUUAUUGUAUGUGUGAAUUUUUAAUGUCGUUAUAUUUUUCACUGAAUCAUGUAUUUGACUAAAAACUAAAUAAAAGAGUUAUAAAGUGUUCAUUAUAUUUUUGAAAUUAGGGGGAAUAGUUUUUACCAGCGCAGCAAAAGGCAAAUAAACUCAUCAUAGAUACCAGGA
rnacentral:lncRNA from 1 species